GCAUUAUUUUUACAAUAUUUUUUUCUUUCAAUUUACAGCCUGGAAGACUUUGAUGAGUCCCUAUUUGAUGAGUGGACAUCGAAACCAACAACACCACAUGUGACACCAACAGCAGCCCCGACCAGACCAUCUACGACACCAACAGUAGCCCCGUCCAGAACCUCUACGACACCAACACAAAGAUUGACACCGUUCUCUUUAAACAUACCGGACAAGAAGAAACGAUGACGGAUAACAACAAGGAAAAAAUGAUAAUAAAUAUAGAGUCAGCUAUCCAGGAGCUGACCGAAGUCAGGAAGAUGCUCCUGGGAAAGAGGCGGAGAUUUGAUUUAUUGAAAUAAAAAAAAAUGGAAAA